GCGCCGUUAGCUCAGCUGGUAGAGCACCGGACUUUUAAUCCGAGGGUCGUAGGUUCGAAUCCUACACGGCGCACCA
rnacentral:tRNA from 1 species